AUUUUGUUGCCCUUCUUCAGUUCGCUUUCAGCCAUGGGUGGAAAUGGAAGUCUGGUCAUCUUCUUACUGUGUUCGAUGUUUUUGCUUGGCAGAUUUCCAAGGUCU